rnacentral:lncRNA from 1 species
UGUGUUUCAAAGUUAGCCAGUUCAAGGCCGACAAUGUUCAAUGUAUUCAGGAAGUUGAACGAGUGUUUGGAGCUUGAAAAUCCGCAUGAAAAAUUUUUUGAUUCUAAAUCCAGCUUUCCUUCAGGUUUUGAAAUUGAAAUCGCAUCAGCUUCUACAGUACUGAGAUAAGUAUGCAUGGUGUGUAAGUGUGUUAACUGAAAUGUGUGUGUUGUAUAUAAUUAAUGUACGAAUUAAUCAUUUUCAAUGAUUGGGUUGUUUGUUUGUGUAAAUUAUUAUCAUUGUGUUCUAUUUAUUAUUCCAAAUCUGAGUUUCGAAACAUAAUCUCAUUAUUAUUAAUAUAAUUCAAAUGGUAAUCGAUUAUAAGAAAAACAACUAAUUAAAUGAUCAGAGCACCAAUAGUGUAUCGGUGUUCUCUAUCAUUAUGGAAGUAAUGCAACCACAUAAUUUCACAUACAGUCGAUGUCAUUGCUCUAUAUUCACUUUCAGCAGAUGAUCUGUUUAUUGUCGAUUGUUUUUUUGAUUUCCAUGAGAUGGCCGAACCAUCAAAUAAGAUGCUAUAUCCUGUUGUGGAUCUUCUAGUUAAGUCUGUAAAUGGUAUACCGGAAUCCGUAUUCAAAUCCACAUUCGAAUUCGAAUAUGACUAUUCGGAUUCGGAUUUUCAGAUUUCGGAUACCUAAAUUGAUAUCUAGAUUUUAUUCGGACGGAUUCGGAUAUCCGAAAAAUCCGUCGUUAAAAUCCGAAUUCGUUUAAGAAUUCCGGAUUCGGAUAUCUAGAUAUCCGAAUAAAUAUAAAUUAACUUCCGGGUAUCUGAAUUUUAGGGUGAUUAAUUGACUAUUAAUUAACUUUAUUAAUGAUGAUUUUAUAUUUUUAUAAUUUUAUUUUAAAUUUUUUAUAAAAAGUUAUCCGGAUUCUGACUAUCCGGAUUCUGACUAUCCGAAUAUUCGGAUAAUUUAUUCGGAUUCGAAUUUUCAUAUCCGAAUUUUAUUCGGUCGGAUUCAGAUAUCCGGAUAAUUAUUCGGAUUCGGAUAUCCGGAUAAUUAUUCGAAUUCGGAUACCUGCGUAUCCGAAUCCGACCGAUAUACAAGCUUACUUCUAAUGUUGGGGCAAUCAGCCCAGUCAGCAUAACAUAAUGCUUGGAGUUGGAGGGGUGCAAAUAUAGUAUUUCUUUGCCAGGAGCCCCUUUGAUAUAUUUUAGUAUUUUGAUGGCUGAAUUAAAAUGUGAUUUUAGUUUGAGAGGAAUUGGCUGAAGUGGCUAACUACAAAACCAAUGUCUGGUCUUGUGAUUGUAAGGUAUAAGAGUUUCCCAAUCCAUUUUUUAUAAGAUGAGGGAUCUUUGAGUGGAAUAUCUAUGUCAGAGUUUUUAGGAUUACGUGACAUUGGAAUUUUAGAUAGGGAUACCCUAAGUUGGCCAAAAUCAUGUAAGAUAUAAGUGCGUAUUUUCUUUGAAAAAUAAAUAUGUCUCUUUCAGAUUGAGAAACUUCAACCCCUAAAAAAUAUUUUAGUUUAUCCAAGUCUUUAAUAUGAAAUUGUUUGUGUAACUGUGUUUUCAAAUCACUUAUCUUACCCUGGUAAUCACCUGAUAUGAUUAAGUCAUCCACAUAAAUUAAAAUGCAUGUAUAAGAUUUUUCUUUUGUUUUGAAGAAUAAAGUAUAAUCAGAAUGAGAUUGUGUAUAACCAAAUUAAUCAAGGCAGAAAUGAACUUUUCAUACCAGUUUCUAUUUACCUGUUUUAGGCCAUAUAAAAACUUUUGCAAACCCUGGAGUCACCACUGGGUAGCAUACUUGGUGGUGGGGAUAUGAAUAUUUCCUCAGAGAGUUCUCCAUAUAAAAAUGCAUUACUUACAUCUAUUUGGUAAGUAGUCCAAUUUUUUAUUGAUCCCACUGCCAAGAGUGUUCUUACAGAGACAAUCUUGGCAACAGGUGAAAAGGUUUCUUUAUAAUCAAAAACCUCAAUUUGGGCGUGGCCCUUUGCCACAAGUCUUGCUUUUAGUCUCUCCACAUCUCCAUUGGAUUUGUGUUUGACUUUGUAUACCCACCUAGAACCCAUAAUUUGUUUGUUUUUUGGUUUGGGAAUAAUUUCCCAUGUGUCCUUUAGUUCUAGGGCAGCCAAUUCUUCAUUCAUUUCCUUGAUCCAUUCAGGGUUUUGGCUUGCUUGCUGAAAUGAUGAAGGUUCAAUUGUGGUGGAUAUUUUGUCUAGAUAAUCAGUGUGUGAGGUGGAGAGUCUUUUGUAUGUUAGGUAGUCAUACAUUGAAAAUGUAGUACCUGUUGAUUUCUCAUUGCUUGUAGCAAAUGAGCAGAAAUUCCAUUUAGUUUUGUAGACUUCCUAGUUUGUCUUCUAGGGUAUCUUUUAGAUGUUGGGUCAGUGCUUGAUAUGGGAGGAGUAUCCUCAGAGAUGUCUGGUACAUCUAUGAUUUGGUUGGCAGAGAUAUUUGAAAUGUUUGGGUGAUCAUUUUGGUUAUCAUCUAAAUUGAUAUUCAUUCCUUCUUCUCCCUGAUUAGUGGAUUCAUUGUCAUUAGUGAUGACAUGUUCAUGUUCACUAUCUUCAGCGAUCUGAUCUUUGGGGGUUUGGGGUGAAUUGAUACUUUCCUUUAGUAGGAAAGUCUCUUUAUAGGAGGUUACAUCUCUACUAAUGGAGAUAUUGUUGGAUUCUAAGUCAUAUAGAAUAACACCUUUUUGAGUUGAAUAAUACCACAAGUAGAUGCAUUUCCUUGCUCUGGGGGAAAAUUUAUUUUCUCACAAGGCAAGUAGCAUAGCAUAGACAGUCAAAUGUCCCUAAUUUCUCAAAGGUUGGUGUUUUUGAGUGUAUAAGUUCAUAAGGUGAUUUGCUUUGAGUUACCUUGGAGGGUAACGUAUUGAUGAUGUAGGUUGCAUGAAGUAUCCCCAUAGCCCAAUGGGGAGUGAGCAUUGCAUUUGCAGUGCCCUUGCAACAUUGAAUAAAUGUUAGUGUUUCCUUUCAACCACACCAUUUUGUUAUGGUGUGUGUGGGAAAUUGGAAUAAUGUAUUAUUCAUUUUCCCCUUAGGAAAUCACCCAUGCCAGAGGAGAAGAAUUCCCCUCAUUAUCAGUCCUAAACUCCUAAUGGCCUUGAUAGAUACCUUGAAUUGAUUUGAAAUAAGAGCAUCUAAAUUUUUAAAUGAAGAAAAACAUUCAGACUUCAUGUCAAUCAGAAAAAUUAAAAAAAAUACUUCAACAACAGUUAAAAAAUACUUCUUCCCAUGGAUUGUUGGAGUGUGAAAAUUCCCCCACACAUCUAUGUGAAGCAAGUCAAAGGCAUUAUGAGAUCUAAAUGCAGAUAAUGGAAAUAGUUUUCUUGGUUGUUUAGCAUAAUGACAAAUAUCACAGUGAGCAUUAAAGUCAGAGUUUUCAUAAUUCAAAGAAAAAUGAUUCAAAAUGUAUUUAAGCCUGUCACAUGAGGUGUGACCAAGUCUUUUGUGCCAAGUUGAAGUAGAUAUGGCACCAACAAAAUAUGUUCUGCCACUAGUGUGUGGUAGUAGGUAUAAACCUUCCAUCAUCUUAAUCUGUCCAACUACCUUCUUCUGAACCUUGUCAUAGGUACAGUUGUAGAAGGUUUUGUUGUUGUUGUGGGGGCACCCCUAUUUUGUUUGUGUUUAGUGGGGUAGCCAUGUUGGACAAAGUAUUUUUCAUCACUGUGCCCAAAAGAAGCAUAGUGAAAACAAUAGUACUUGACAUUUACUUAUCUACCACUCUUGUAAUAGAGUGGUUCAGUUGGUGGUGGUGGCCUCUUCCUUGGGUUUGAUGAUGAUGGUGUGGAUGUGGGUUUCCUUGGUUGUGAAGUACUUGCAUUAUUGUUGGUGUAAUUCUUGGUUGUGUUGUUAUUUCUUGCAGAGUAGAAGGCAGAGCCUUGUGUUGCAUUGUCUUUGUCAGAUAAGUGUUGUUGUGUUUCUUCAUGAAUGAUCAUUAAAUAUACCAUUCCCAAAUUUGGGAGUUUCUCCAUUGAGAGGAUGUGAGACCUAAUUUGUCUAAACUCUUCAUUUACACCCAUUAGAAUUUUUCUUAUUUUCAACCUUUCUUCUCUAUCAUUGAUUCUUCCAUUCACAUUACAGGUACAUGAGCCACAGUCACAAUGGGGAACUUCUCCAUAGGCAUCAACCUACCUCCAAGAGGUUUUGAGAUUUGUGCAGAAUUUGGAUACUGAGUAUGUGCCCUGCUGAAGCAUGGCCACAUCUUGUGAGAGUUGGUAUAUAUGAGUUUCGUUUGACUGUCUAAACUGAUCUCUAAGAUCAGCCCAUAUGAUGGAUUCAUCAUUAGUGUACAUGACUUGUGAGGCUAUUUCCUUGGAGACUGAGCUACAGAUCCAUUGUCAGAUCACCCUAUGACAGGUGACCCAAGCCUCAUAUUCUUCAAUAUUCCAUGUGUUCGCCUUGUAAUUAACAUUGUUGUCAUCUUCUUAUUUCAGGGAUAGUAGUUUUGACUGCCUUGCAGAACGUUGAUGAUGGUCAAGGGACCAUAAUCAAAAGAUUUUAGAAAGUAGGGAGAUGUGGGGUCAAAUAGGGAGCCACCAUAAUUACCAUCAAAUAGAGUCGCCAUAAUUAAAUAAGUAGCGCCGCCAUAAUUACCAUCACAAAUGUAACCAUCUUCUCCAUCUGAAAAUCUGUUCGUUUUUAAACUAAAUUAACUGAUUUUAGAGAAAGAAGAAGAAAAAACAAUUGCCGAAAUCCUGAUCACUUAUUCUAAAAUUUAUGUUCUUGUGAUUGAAUUUAUGUUUUAAAUAUAGAACAAACUUCCUAAAAGCCCAUUGUUAUAUACGCUCAAUACUGCCCCCUCAUCCCAGUCGUCUAUUUUAAUAAAAUUAAAGAUAAAUUUCAGGAAUCAAUUUCGACCGUUCAUGAGUGUAUUCUUGAUUUUUAGUAAAAAUCUCGACUUAGAGUGUCUCAAUUCUACGAUUACGACCAUAGACCUCACUCUAACUCUUUAUUUCUGAUGACGCAAGGCCAAAGCGACGGCCGUUACAAUCGAUCUAGAUCUCUCUCUCUUCUUCUCUAGUAGCUAGUGUAGACUCAUUAAUUUAACCUAUUGUUGAUCCUUAGGUGAAAAGUUUUAAUAGUAGUAUAUUAUCCUGCUAAUAGGGAUGGGCUUGCCAGAUACUUAUUUGGACUUAAGCCCAGGCCGUGGUCGGGUCCCCGGAGUCGACCCGUAUCGUAGUUGGGUCGGGCUCAGGUUUGACCCGAGUCGGACCCUUGCUGGGCCUGGGUCAUGGGCUGAAUUACUGUUGUUAACCUUGAGCCACACAUAGUGAGCCGAGGGUAUCAUCAAUUUCCCUCAUUUUUUGUGACCAUUUCUUUCAAGAUUCCACUCAUUUCGUUCUUCCCUCUUCUCCAAAGUGAUUUUAGGUUUCAACCCAAGCGACAGUUCAAACUCUUCACCAGAGACAGUCGACUCUCCGUCUCUGCUAAAGAAUACAAGUUAAUCGAGUGACUUUUUUCUAUGAUUUCUACUUCUACUUAUAUACAGACAUAGCCGACCUGUCUUCGUCGGAUAUGACUUGUCCGGCCACGGCGGGGGUACGGAUAUUCAACGGAUCCAUCGAGGAUAGGACGGGUAGAGUCAGCUCCUUUAUCAAGUAGAUAUUGAAAAUUAUUUUCAUAAGUGAUGAUACCCUCAACCCACUAUAUGUGGCCCAAGGAUAACAACAGUAACUCAACCCAUGACCGACAAUGAUCCUACCUAGCCCAAGUAUGAGUCUGACCCAACCACGACACGGUCCUACUCUGGGGACCCAACUACGACCUGGGCCCAAGCCCAGAUCAAUAUCCGGUUAGCCCAGCCCCACUAGCAGGUUAACACUGCUAUUAAUAUUUCUUACCUUGGGAUCAACAACAGGAAAAUUAAUGAGUCUAGACAAGUCACUAGAGCAGAGUGGAUCAAGAGAGACAGAGAGAUUUCUGAUCGACUGUAACGGCCACCUCAUCGGCCUAGUGUCAUCAGUGGUGAACCUAACGUGAAACUAAAUCAAGCGAUUUUUUGAUGGUGAGCGGAAGAAAAACUACCCGGAAUUCUACAGUUCGGAAGGAGAUGGAGCUGGAAAGGAGCGAAGGAAUAUCGGAAGAGUGGAAAACUCCCCUCCCCGCAGAAGGAGACAUCGAGGCUGAAUCAGCAAGGUCAACACUACUGCAAAGAGGGAGGCAUCGAGGGUCACUAGCAUUUGAAGCCACCUCUACGAAAGGUCCCGGUCCCCCAUCAUCAAGAGGGAUUGGAGAAGGACCCACCGGGGAAGGUCCCCGUGGAAGAAUCUUCGGGGGACGGAAGGGCUCGGUUCCACCACCUGGGGAGACACAUCAAGAGGGUCCCGUUGGAGGAGUCAUCAGAAGGGUGUAGAGACCUCGCUUCCCGCUGGGAGCGACAAGAUCGAGCCUCGACUAGCAAGGUCACACAAAAACCACUCCUGGCCUCCAAGAAAACCAAAAGCAGCUGCAGGAGCAGAUAUCCCGAAUGGCGGGAGGUAAGGAACCCGGAAGCGAGCUCCCCCGACCCAUAGAGGAAGGAAAGGAGGCCCUACGCCACACCUAGUGGAGGAAGCCUACUCAACGGGGUGGAAAGCACCCCGCUUAACAAUGUACAAUGGGACAACGGACCCGGAGGACCACCUUCACUCGUUCCGCACGGGGAUGGAGGACAUGACCAACCGGAAAGAUAUAUGGUGUCGCAUGUUUCGGAGGACACUGUUGGGCGACGCGUUCCCCUCAAGAGUCUGUUCUGCGUAGCUUUUGCUUUCCGCAUUCCGCACCCGACGAAAGAAGGAGGUAACGACCCUACUGGCAGUGUCGCAGGGGGAUAGCGAAACUCGAUCUCAUGGAUUACAUAAACCGGUUCACCACGGUAGUUCAUAACCUAGAGGAGGCCGAAGAACCAACCAUAAUGAUGGCCUUGUUAAACGGCUUGAGGGGAACGCGUUUCAUAGUCGAACUCAUCGACCAUAAGGUCAAGACAUUCUCCGGAGAUAUACAUUGGGCUCAAGGAACCAUGAACAUAGAAGAAUACCUGACCCCGAAAUUCAAACAAGCUUUGCAGUGGCAGAAGGGGAAGGCCAGAGGACAAAAUCUCAGGCAACGAAGGAGGCGGGUGCGACCUCCUACGGGGUACUACCUUCACCCAGGGCUCCCAAAUCUCAGAACAAGGGAAAGGCACCGUAUACGGAACCCCGAAAGCUAGCGGAGUCCGUCCAAAACUAGAGGGAGAUUUUUCUAGCAUUGAAGGGGGCGGGCACACUCCCAGAGGUACGAUCGAUGAUGGUGGAAUCCGCAACGUACCGUGAAAACGGGAAGUACUGUGAGUACCACCAGGACUCGGGGCACACCACGACGGAGUGCAGAAGUCUAGCGAGAGCCAUCAAGCAGACAAAAAUUCCUACGAUGGAAUCCCGGCCAGCACCAGCACUGAAACCGGUCGUCAUACCAAUCGGCCACAAAACCCCAAAGCCGGAGUCGGACAAGCCGGAGGUAGAAGAUAUAUUUUCCAUCUCGGGGAGGGGGACCUCCUGGACCCAGGACCCUGUGGAGACUCAUCGUUACACCACAAACACGACAAGGGCGAUCCUGGGGAAGAAAAGGAAGCCCACAGAAGGGAUCUCUUUCACAAAUACAGACCUGGUGGAUAUAACAACACCGCACCACGACCCGCUGGUCAUCACACCGAUGCUCAAAAGAAAGAACGGCGGCCAGGUCAGGUUACACAAGGUAUUGGUAGAUAUAAUACUUCUUACCUUGGGAUCAACAGCAGAAAAACUAAUGAGUCUAGACUAGUCACACUACAAAAAAAAGGACCUUGUAUGGCGGCCUUUAGAUGACGGAAAUCCGCAAUCAAUAAUUCAGUUGUUUUGAUGGCAGAAGUCCGCCAUCUAUUCUUUCAGUCCAUCGAGGAUAGGUUAUGGCUCGACGGCGGUUCAAAUUUGUUUUCGAUGAUGGAUUUCUGUCAUCUAAACUAUCCCGCCCAAAAUUUCGAAUCUCCUCCCAAAAUCAGACCGAUUACCCGAUUAAAUUGACUUAACAUGGCGGUUGUCCGCACGUUAAGUAUUCGAGGACUCGGGCGGAAAAAGCCCGCCCAAAUUUCGAUUGGGCGGACUUUUCCACCUUACAUGGCGGAAAUCUGCCAUGUAAGUUUUGGGGUUUAAUAAAAAACCCAAAUCGACAGACUCCGCCGGCUGUCUCAAGAAAUCGGAAAAGCUCUCCCAAUCGCCGCCACUUGCGCCAACUGCCGUACUCCCGUUGUCGUCGUCCCCUCGCCGUCAUCAUCCCCUCCCGCCGGUCUUCGUUCCGUGGUGUGAAGGUAUGAUUUCUUCCAUGUUUGGAUGUUAAUUGAUAUUUGUAUUUUAUAAAUUUGUUUUAGGUGAUUGAAAUGAAGUGUUUGAUAGAAAUGAUUUUAGUGUUUUAUAAUGUUGAAAUGAAGUGUUUUAUAAAUUUGUUAAGGUAUGAUUUACAGAUUUGAUAGAUAUAUAUGGAUGUACAUAUAUUAAUAGGACGCGAUUCUGGGACGGCCGGUUUUUCAAACGGUCCCUUUUGCGGACCUUCGAUCCGGCCGUCCGAUCGGAACUGGAGAUUAGAAACUGCGAUCGGAGUUCCCACGGAACCCAUCGAUCAUUCCAGGAAAUUGAAAUGAAAACCCAUCGUUCCAGGAACCCAUCGAUCGUUCCGAUGAAAUCUGGACGGAUGUAUUUGGGAAGAUUUCGGUUCCGUGGGAACCCAUCGAUCAUUCCAGGAAAUUGAAAUGAAAACCCAUCGAUCGUUCCGAUGAAAAUUUGGACGGAUGUAUUUGGGAAGAUUUCGGUUCCGUGGGAACCCAUCGAUCGUUCCAGGAAAUUGAAAUGAAAACCCAUCGGAACCCAUCGUUCCAGGAACCCAUCGAUUGUUCCGUGGAAUUGCGAUUUCCAUUCCGAGGAUUCCGCGGAAUCGUAGUUCCAUUCCGCAGACGGGAGUAGCAGACAUGACCGCCGGAGUCCUCUGUCCGGUUCCACGCGGAAGUGUAAUGAAGAUUGGGGAAGGUUAUAGAAGAGGGGGAGAUUGGAGAAGAUUUAUAUUCUUGAAGGUUCACUCCGGUUUAUUAUCAUUUCACUCUGGUUUACAGUCGGUCCGCAUCAUACGGGCGGCCGUCUCUGAUUCUCAGUGUAUAUUAAUAUCUAUUUCAUACCUAUUUAAUUUGGAUGUUCAUCUGUGAAGGUUUUAUUAAUUUGACAUUUUUAUCAUGAUCGUACAAAUGGAUGUUAAAAUAUUUGGAUGUUUGUAUAUAUAUGUUUAGUUCAAUGUUAAAAUGGAUGUUUGAAUCUAUAUAUGGAUGUUAGAUAUUUGUAUUUCAUCUAUCUUUGAUAAAAAUAUUGACAGUGAUUUGUUUUAGGUGUUAAAAAAUAUUGACAGAUAUUUGGGUGUUAAAAAAUAUGAUCAUGAUAUAUGAUCAUCUAUCAUGAUCAUAUAAAUGUUUGGAUGUUGAUAUUUGUAUUUUAUCAAUUUGUUUUAGGUGAUUGAAAUGAAGUUUUUGAUAGAAAUGAUUUAGGAGAAUCGCGUAAGAGAUCCGCCGGAAUCGCGAGCGAGAUAUUUGAGAUGGUUGUUUGCGCACGGAAUACACUUACAGAGGAGUAAAAUCUGAUACUAUCUCAGUAAUAUCUCAACCCUGUAAUUAGUGCAAAACUAAUACCUUUGAUUAAGAAAAAAAGAAUGAGUUUACAAUAUUUGUAUUUAUAUCUAAGUUAUAUAACUAACUGCUAACUAUAUUAUAAGUGUAAAAGCUAUAAGAUUGCAAUACUCCUGACAAUUAAGUUCGUUUAUAAAAAUAUUAAUUUGGAUAAGAAUGUUGUUAAAACUUCAAAACAUUCCUUUCAGAUAACGUGUAAUAAGAAACACAUGAAAGAUAUCGUUUAGGUUUUUAAAUUUUUUAUCAAGUCGCGUGUUUUAUUCCUAAUUUUUUAUUUACGAUUUACAUUAUUAUUUUGUUACGAAAUUCUAAUUGUUUGAUUGCAUUUAAUUAUUCUAAUCAAUAAAUUAAAGUUAGAUAAGUCAAACUAUUAAAAAAUAAUUUAAUGUAAAUCGAUUAUUGGAUGAACAAAUAUAAUCGAUCAAUUAAUGAAAUCUAUUGCCCAACAAAAAGAAAAUAUGUUUAAAGAUUGACUCAACAAAAGAAAGUAGACUAUAAACAAUGUGUUUUUUAUUGUUUAUUUUUUAAAUUAAAGAUGGUUAGAUGGACAUGUUUAUUUUUUUUAAUGUUUUUAAUGUUUAUUUUUAGAAUGAUUUAAAAAAAAUUCAGUAUUCGAUAAACUAUUCGGUUCGGGUUCGGUUCGGUUCGGUUAUUAAACCUAAGAGUAGACUCGUUUAUUUAAACGAACUGAACCAAAUAUUUAGGUAUUCAGUUCGGUAGGCUCGAGUUACAACGCUACCUGAAAUCCAGUCUUGAAAGAGGAGAUGGUCUCGUCACGAGCAUCCUGAACCAGCUUCUCCGUAUGCUCGACCACCUUAACAAGAGCCCCCACAAAUUCGACAGCAGGAGCCUCCGCCCAGUCCAACUUGGACUCGAGGUCCUAGACCGAUUGCUUGGCUUCUGCAAGAGCCCGAUCCCGUGCCGCAAUCUCACCCGAAACCUCCUCCCGCCGACGAGCGGUCUCCGUUGCCACAACCUCGGCGCAAACCUCACCCAGUUGGACCCAGUGCUUCUCCGCGUCUUUAGAAGCCUCCGUUAUCGCCUGGUCGCGCUCCGUCACAUAGGCCGAAACCUCCUUGGUCAGAUGGGCAACCUGUGUGUUCAACUUCUUCAUCUCCUCACUCAGGUCGAGACCGCGCUUGAGGCGCACUUAGGCAAGCGCGGUGCCGCGAAGACUGUCGACAUAGAGGUCACAGUUGAGCGCACGAACGUUGUAGGCGAACAGGUCCAUGUACUCAGACUCGUCCUCCAAGAACGGCUGGAGAAGGUUGAAACCCUUCAGAAGUUUCCCGACGAUCUGAGGAAUGGAAGACGAAGAAUCAACCAAGGUAGGUUCGGCAUGAAAUUUGCCCGCAAGGGCAGUAGAGUCCAAGACAGAGCCGAACUCCUGGCGGGCCAACAUCUUCGGCUCCAGUUCAUAAGCGGGGUUAGAGAGGUCGUGCACCAAAGUUUCGCCCUCCUCGAACUUCUUCGGCUCCUCGAAAGUGACGUCGGGAGAUUUCUUCGCUCUAGUCUUCCGCCUCGGCCCCAUCGUCACCGGCCUCACUGGAGUUAUCGACGUCCAAGUUCACAACAUGCAUUUCUUCCAAGUGGAUAACGAGCGUCCUCCUCUUCUUCUUCCAGAGGGGGGGGGGGCUGGGGUUCUUCUACUUCCUCAUCCUGGCGGUCCUCCGCUGGCCCCAGGUGCUCCUUAAGACUCCAGUCGCGCGUGAGACGACUGGGGUCCACAAGACGGCGGCGGGAGAUGUCGGUAAGCAAGUUGUUCGCCCUCUCGUCGUCGUUCAUACGGAAGGAAGGGACGAUAGUCUUGCGAGUUUUCAGAGUGUCAAGUGGCUCCCACCCUUUAGGAGGGGGACGCACAGGGUCGAUAGGACCGAGGCAGUGCAAGUCCAUGAAAAAGAAGAGAUCGCGUCACCCGUGCGCGCAGUCAGGAAGAGUCUCGAAGAGGGCGGAGAUAAGCACAUUAUUCCGAUCCGUGUUCAUCGGAAGGAUAUGGAACCAGUAACGAAACAGGUCGACGGUGAGCACAAUAUUGCACUCCGCGCAGAGGAUCUCGAAAGUUAUGAUGCCAUCCACGACGGUCGGAGAAAACUGAGAGAGCGACAGCUGACAGUGGCUGACGGUCGCCUGAAAAAACGAGGUGAGCGGCAGCGCCAGUCGGGUGUCGACGUAGGGAAUGUAGACGACGACAUAAUCGGGGGGCGGAUGCGAGGCGACAAGUUUCGUACUUCGGGUUGUCCUUGUAGGUGUGCAUUGCCUUCAUAGCGUCGAAGCACAUCAUCGCGGUGGCCCUGGAAAGGGGGUUAUGCUUAUCAGACACAAGGGAGAAUACGUCGAAAAUGGCUUCCUGGACCUCGUUGACCGGCGAUGCAAUAAUGGUUUAGGGUUCAGCCAUGGCAGACCUGGAGAGUGAUCGUCGGGAGAUAGGAGGCAAGAGCAAGAAGGGGUAGACAAAAAAGGAAAGUAGCGGGAAAGGAGAAAAGGUAGUAGUAUUUAUUAAAAAACCUAAGGCUCGAAAGACGAAUCGUUGCGAGUACUUGGGUGUCCCGAGACACGGGGGCCCGGUAAGGCGUCCCACAAAAGAACCAUGAGGCCCACAGUCCAAUGUGUCCGGGAACAGAGCAAACGAGGGGACGCGACACGAACGACGGGGUCCCAGGGUCACGUCCGGUGCGUUCCCGGGCCACCCAGAGUAUCGGGCAAUGGGACUCGAGGGAGCCUCGAACCCGCCUGUCGGCUAGGCGGAAGGAGUGUCAUCCAGAGUUAUCUCGGGCAACGAUCUAACGGGGGAACCGGGGUCGGAGUCGGACGGUCCUUGGCAGCCGAGAAAGUGUCGCCCGAAUGCUGAAGGACGUCAGGGGAAAACGGAGGAAGUUCAGCGGACAACGGGCGUUUCGGGACAAUCAACUACACAAAAGAAAAAGUCAUUUAAACUCAAAGCGUCGAAAUGCUCGAAAUAAAUUACCCAAAAAAUUCAUUACAAGCCCGAAGGCGCUACGAAAGUUACAACAAAAGCCACAACUACAUACCAUAAGUUACAAAAACAUCGUCAAAAGCUAAACGUGCACUAAAGAAAAGAAAAAGAAGGAUGGCGGGAGCGAAUCGCGGGGCACCACACAAUUUCCCAUCCAGGUAAUUUUAUACCAAGGAGGAAGAGGAGGAAGUUAUCCCCGAACGUCGCCACCCAGAGGCAUGGGAACGGACGAGAGAUCGCCCGCAAACGCCUGGGAGCGCAAACCUAACGGCCCGAUUUCGGAAGCCCCGACAAGAAAUGUCGUAAAUCGUUAGCCGGAAGGGACGGAGACCCAUGAGAGCCACGGUGACCGCUGACGGCGACUAGAUCCCCCGACCGGAGCAGCGGUCGGCGCACUAUGUAGGGAGCAGCAGGAGCUUAAGGUCACAGCACCAACAACGGCAACAGGCACGCCGAAAGAGGAUGAAGCGUAGGACCGACGAAGUUGGGCAAGGCGGCGAUGGAUGUCUAGAACGAAGUUGAGCCGCUAACUCUCCGACACGGCGAUGCUGUGAAAGUCACCGACGGGCAUCAUCAGACACUCCGUCCACGCGGCAUGCUGAAGCUUCACCUCGCGGCCAAACUCUUCCAGAAGGUCUUGGACGCUCAUUGAAAAGGAACUGCAAAAUGAGGAAAAGGAACUGCACAGAGACAGCUACUUAUAAAAAAAUGGGGGAAAGGGCACAAACAACGAAGUUUUAUAAAGAAGGUAGUUGAGCAAACCAAGAAAAACGGAUCGGGCAGGGCCUUACCCCCACGGGUCAGGAGUGAGUACUGUUGGUAUCAAGGCCCGUCCAGACGGACCAUGGGCCGAACAGACCAUAAGGCCCAGGAGGCCUAUGGAGGAUAUCUAUAUAUACCUCCCAUGUUCCAACAGAGGAGGAGGUUGAGAAUUAGAGAGAAGAAUACUAGAAAGUUGUGUGUGUGAGCGCGAGCCCAUACACCAUCAAUAUCAAAUAUCAAUUUGAAUAUUAUGUAUUUUAUUCAUUAAAUCUCUGCACACGCUAUUUUAAUUAUAAAUAAUUUUUGAUCUAUACGUAAUAAUUAUUAUAUUACAUUGAAAUAUUUGAACAUCACACAUUUACACUGAUAUAUAAGUGAAUAAAAUCUAUCUAAUAAUUAUACAGAAGGCAGAGCCAAAGAGGAAUUGGAAAUGGGUGGAUUUGGGUGUAAUCUAUUGUUCAUCCUAUUUUUGGAGUCGAUGUUUAUCAUUGCAGUGAACAGCAAAGAUGGUAUUAUCUAGAUCAUCAUUUACUAUAUUUCUAUCUGAAUGUUAAAUUUUGAUUUAAUUCAUUUGAAUCAAUUUCUGAUUCAGGAUUCAUAAGCAUUGAUUGUGGCCAAGAAAAGAGCUACACAGACACCCAGACAGGGUUAUUUUACGUUUCUGAUUCUAAGUUCGUUGAUACUGGUGAGACCCACAAAAUCCCUCACGGAAUGGUAAAGUCAGCAUUGAAUGAGCAAGCUUACCAUUUAAGAAGCUUUCCCAAUGGAACCAGAAAUUGCUACACGUUAGAUGUUGUAAGGGACGUGAAAUACUUGGUAAGAGCAUCGUUCAUGUAUGCUAACUACGACCUGUUCGAUAAAAUGCCAGAAUUUGAUAUCUAUCUAGAUUCAAAUCUUUGGUCGAAUGUUAAACUCAUCGAAUCAACAACUCAGUAUAUGAAGGAGAAUCUUGUUGUUUCCACAAGAAAUCAGAUGUUAGUUUGUCUGGUGAACACUGGAUUUGGAACACCAUUUAUAUCUUCUUUAGAGUUGAGGCCGUUGGAGAAGGAGCAUAUGUAUUCUUUAGUGCUUCCAAACCAAUCAUUCGUCCUCUUUCAAAGACUUAACGUCCAACCUAUUGUUGAUAAAAUACUGAGGUUUGCUGAUUAUUAAUUUAAUGCUUCAAUUCUUCUUUAUAAUUGGUAAAUUAAUUCCUGGUAAUACAAUUAAGCUAGAAUUAACUUAACUUUCCAGGUAUCCCAAGGAUAGAUAUGAUCGGAUAUGGGCUCCAUAUCUUCUUAAGUCCUUGGAAACAUUAUCUACCGAAUCAGAAGUAAGGGAAUGUAAAAAAUGUAAUUACCCAGUCCCGUCAGACGUGAUGAAAACAAGUGGAAUUCCAAUUGCAAAUGGAUCUGAACUGAAUAUCAAAUUUGAUUGGCCACUCGUAGAUGGCGAAGAACCUCGACAGAUAAUAUUUGUCCUUCACGAUGCAGAAGUUGAUGAGUCUAUGGCAGCAAUUCAAUCAAGGAAUUAUACAGUAUCUUCAAAUCUUUUUAGUAGUUUGAGAGGACCUUUUGAGUAUGGUCGUUAUUUAGAUUGGGGCUAUUACUAUAGUACUAGUCCUUGGUCAUUAUAUGAAGAAUCAUUGACAUUUGCUAUACGCCCAGCAAAUGGUUCCACACAUCCUCCAUUUCUAAAUGCCAUUGAAAUUUAUCAGGUCAACCAAUUGACAGAGCCAUCUACGAUUGAAGAAGAAGGUAUAUACUUUAUAUGUAUGUCAAAAUGGUGAUUCAUAUAUAAAUUAAUUUGCAAUAUUUCAACAGUUGAAGCCAUGAUGGAAAUAAAAAGGUUUUACAAAGUGAAGAAGAAUUGGCAAGGGGAUCCAUGCACCCCAAAUGAACAUAUUUGGGAAGGGAUCACUUGUGGAAAUAACAUUCACUUCCCAUCAAUCCUUUCUGUGUAAGAUUAAUAUAUCUAAGAGUAAUUAAUUACUAGUUAUGCAAUCUGAUCGAUGAUAAUUUUCUUCUUCUUUACAGGAACCUUACAUCAAAUGAACUCAACGGAGAAAUAUCAAUUGGUUUUAGAAAACUAAAAAAGCUCAGAUCCUUGUCUGAUUUGAUCAAUUGGUUUUAAAACUUAUUUGCAGAUCAUCCAAAUUAAUAUUUAACAAAUGGAUCAAUUGGUUACUUCUUUUGCAGAGAUUUAUCAAAUAACAACUUGGUUGGCACCAUUCCAAAUUUCCUCGAAGAUUUAUCAAAACUCAGAGUUUUGUAAGUGAAAUAAUUUGCAGUUUAUUUUACAGAAAAUAAUUAAAAAGAUCUAUAUAUAAUAUUUAAGCUAAUUUAUUACUUCCUUAGGAAUUUAUCUUAUAAUAAUCUCAAAGGAAAUAUACCAAAACAAUUGCAAGACAAAUCUGAUGAUGGAAUCCUGAACAUGAGGUAUAUAUACAAUUAAGAGUAUUCAUAAUCAAUAUUCAUACAUUUUUGGUAUUUUAAGCGAUUACUUAAUUAUUUCAGUCUUGAGGGAAAUCCUGGUCUCUGCCUAGACCCAAAUCAAUGCGAAGACAAACCAGAUCGCUCGAAAAAACUUAUGAUCAUCAUUUCAGCUGUCGCCUGUGUCAUACUAGUUGUGUCAGCCUUGAUUGUAUUGUAUGCUAUUCGAAAAUAUGAUAAUUUUCCCUAUUGCUGUUGCAAACGAGAGUAAGUUUAUAUAUGAGUGCAAAUUUAAACUUAAUUGUAAGAUGCAAUGCAUGUAAAAUAUUCAUUUUCAGGCCUCCCAGUCCUCUACCCAUAAAAAGCAGACGUUUCACCUACGGCGAAUUGAUAACUAUGACUGACAAAUUCAGUACAAUUAUUGGGAAAGGAGGAUCUGGAAUAGUUUAUCUUGGCGUAAAUCAAAGGAAUGGAUCACAAGUGGCUGUUAAACUACUAUCCCUAUCCUCCUCGCAGGACCAAAAGGAAUUUGAAAUGGAGGCAUGCAUGCAUGAAUUUUCCAAAUUAUUUAUAAAAAAAUCUAUAUAUAUAUAUUUCAAAAUGAAAAGCUAGCUAGCUGAGUUAUUGAAUGCAGGCAAAACUAUUGAUGGACAUCUCCCACAAGAAUUUGGUGACUCUGGUUGGAUAUUGCAACGAGAAAAAUCAUUUGGGACUUGUAUAUAAAUACAUGGAGAAAGGAAGUCUUAAACAAUAUAUUUCUGGUUCAAUUCAAAACUUACUAAUUAAUUAUUUUAAUUCUAUACUAAUUAAGAUACUAAAAAUAAAAUAUUCAUGACAUAUUAUUUUCAAUAUCAUAUUACUCUAGGUAAAGAUAAAAGUAGUAUACACAAAAUUGGUUGGCCAUGUCGGCUGAAGAUAGCUGCCGAAGUUGCUGAAGGUUAAUUUUAUAAUCAAUCUUUUCAUACUUAAUUUUUAUCAUUAAAUUUUCAUAAUUAAACUUGGUAAAUUAAAUUUGAUACAGGAUUGGAUUAUUUGCAUAGAGGUUGUCGACCCGCAAUAGUCCACAGAGAUAUAAAACCCCACAAUAUCUUAUUAUCUGAAGAUUGGGAAGUUAAAAUCGCAGAUUUUGGAUUGUCUAAAGUUUUUGAAAAAGAUGCUUCGCUUUGUAAUAUGACCGUGGCCAAGGGAACUCCUGGUUACAUCGCCCCUGAGUAAUAUUUCUGAUUAGAAUUUAGUAAUUCAGAUAUUGAAUUCGAAUAUACAUAGCAUCAUAAAUUAACUUGAAUUCGAUAUCCAGAUGCCUAUCAAAUUUGAGCUUCAACGAGAAAAGUGAUGUUUAUAGCUUUGGAAUUGUACUUUUGGAGUUGAUAACGGGGCAACCAUCCCUUAUUGAAAAGUAUGGCUAUGUCCCUCCUUGCUAUGUUUCUAUAGUUGAUUGGGUGGAACCAUUGUUCAGAAGCGAAGGAAUAACUAAAAUUGUGGAUUCAGAAUUUAACUCCAAAUACGACAUUGAUUCUGUUGAUAAAGCAUACAAUAUUGCAAUGGCAUGUGUUACAAAGUCAGCCAGUUCAAGGCCGAUAAUGUACAAUGUAUUCAGUCAGUUGAACGAGUGUUUGGAGCUUGAAAAUCCGCAUGAAAAAAUUUUUGAUUCUAAAUCCAGCUUUCCUUCAGGUUUUGAAAUUGAAAUGGCAUCAGCUUCUACAGUACUGAGAUAAGUAUACAUGGUGUGUUAACUGAAAUGUGUGUGUUGUAUAUAAUCAAUGUACGAAUUAAUCAUUUUCAACGAUUGGGUUGUUUGUUUGUGUAAAUUAUUAUCAAUCUGUUC